rnacentral:rRNA from 1 species
GUGUACGUGUUGUGUGUAGGGAAUAGGGGUGGAGUGUUCCGUGUUGAAGUCGUUGAGUGUACCGUAUCAGGGCGAAAGAGAGGGACGGUGACGAGGAGAACAGGGCGGUAUCUCAGUAGACGGCCGAGGAGAGGGUCGGAACCACAGUCGGUAGCGAAGGAGAGGGACGGUGAUGCAUCACCGACCACCUGGUGCGAGCUGGCUCCCUUCUUUGUUGCUGCGGCAUCCAUUGUCCGUAUGUGUGUCAGCCACCCGCGGACUUUGUUACGGUAGUUUGUACGUACUCGUUGCUGGAGCUAGUACGGAGGGAUACACGUUGGUCUUACACCUCGGGUCCUCGUUCUACUGUGGUGGCUGCUAAUGAUGAUGUGGCUCCCACGGAAGGUGAUGCACCUCCGGCGGCUGCUGGUCCUCGUCAAUCCUCCGAGGGUCCGUCCUCCGGAACGGAAAAGCUAGCAACAACGAAAACACGAUCGGAAGAAUUCCUUUUGAACAGAUUAAAUACAGACAUGAGUCUAAAACAACGAAGGCGACUGAGCAAACAUAAGCUCGAAUACAUAAGCUCGGGAGCUCCGGGGACCG